ensembl:miRNA
AAUAUGGUAUUUUUGAUCUGCAUUUGGUUGAAAUGCAUUUGACCUGCUCAGUUGAAACCUGUGUUGUUCAAGGGUCAAACUGUAUUAU